rnacentral:rRNA from 1 species
AAAAGAAAUAUAUACAACUUUCAGCAACGGAUCUCUUGGCUCUCGCAUCGAUGAAGAACGCAGCGAAAUGCGAUAAGUAAUGUGAAUUGCAGAAUUCAGUGAAUCAUCGAAUCUUUGAACGCACCUUGCGCCCUUUGGACAUUCCGAAGGGCAUGCCUGUUUGAGUAUCAUGAACACCUCAACUCUUCAUGGUUUUCCAUGAUGAGCUUGGACUUUGGGGGGUUUUGCUGGCUUACAGUCAGCUCCUCUAAAAUAAAUCAGCUUGCCAGUGUUUGGUGGGUAUCGCAGGUGUGAUAACUAUCUACGCUUGUGGUUUUCCACCAGUACCUCAGCAGUGGAGGUUCACUGGAGCUCACAGACUGUCUCUCUCAGUGAGGACAGCCUUUGAUGUUGUCUCAAACAGGAGACUACCGCUGACUUAGCUAUAUAAGCGAGGAU